rnacentral:sRNA from 1 species
GAUGCCUGCCCUUCGUGGGCGUUUCCUCCCUAGACUUCGGGCCGCUCGCAAGGGUGGCCUUUUUUGUAUCCGGC